ensembl:lncRNA
CCCCCUGCAGCCCCACCUCCGUCUGCAUGUCAGCCUGCAGCGGUGCCUCCCGCACAAGGUGAUGGGAGCAGCCCACGAUGCAGGGGCGGGGUCUCGAGGGUGUUGUGACUGCGCUGCGGAGGCAGCCCCCAGGCAGGAGAGGGCCCCAGCGCCCACCCAGGAGGGAGAUCUCACACCCUGCUCCCCCACCCGAGGCAGCAUAUUCACUUUUGACUCUGACCUCCCGCAGGAAGCUGGCAUUGGCACCUGUGCAGGCCUGUGCUGAAAGCCAGCGACAAGUGUGUCACAGGAAGACAAACUGCUUGGCUUUCCGAAACGCGUUCUGCACCCCCCCGCGCCCACGUCCCAUCUCCCCACGACCUCCUGGAGCCCCUCCACCAAGACCGAGCCACACUCAUGUCCCGCGUGGCCCAGCGGAGCCCCACGGGGACUCGCGUGUGCGGUCGGGAGUCGUGGUUGCACAGCAGGGUCCAGACCUCAGCCCCCGACCCCACCCACUGGGUUCUGGAACCCGGGCUGGGCUGGGGGCGUCGCCCGGUCUGUGAAGGGGCAGUCCUCGGACCGAGGCCAGGGCCCGCUCACCUGCAGGGGCGCCCUCCGGCCCCCGACCCCACCCCUGCGUGCCUGGCUCAGGUGCUGGAACCCGGCCCCUGACCCCCACCCCUGCGUGCCUGGCUCAGGUGCUGGAACCCGGGCUGGGGUGGGGGCAUCGCCCGGGCUGCCUGGGGGCGUCGCCCGGUCUGUGAAGGGGGCAGUGCCAGGGCCCGCUCACCUGCAGGGGCGCCCUCCGGCCCCGGACCCCACCCCUGCGAGCUGGCUCAGCGGCUGGAACCCCGGCUGGCGGGGGGCGUCGCCCGGACUGCCUGGGGGCGCCGCCCGGUCUGUGAAGGGGCAGUCCUCGGACCCGAGGCCGGGGCCGCUCACCUGCAGGGGCGCCCUCCGGGCCCCCGACCCCACCCCUGCGAGCUGGCUCAGCGGCUGGAACCCGGGCUGGGCUGGGGGCGUCGCCCGGUCUGUGAAGGGGGCAGUCCUCGGACCCGAGGCCGGGGCCCGCUCACCUGCAGGGGCGCCCUCCGGCCCCGACCCCCACCCCCUGCGAGCUGGCUCAGUGGGCUGGGAGCCCGGGCUGGCGGGGGCGUCGCCCGGUCAGAGAAGGGAGCAGUCCUCGGACCCGAGGNNNNNNNNNNNNNNNNNNNNNNNNNNNNNNNNNNNNNNNNNNNNNNNNNNNNNNNNNNNNNNNNNNNNNNNNNNNNNNNNNNNNNNNNNNNNNNNNNNNNGGAGGGGCCUGCGCACGCGCAGGAGUCCGGGGGUGGGGGGGGAACAGGAACUGCCUGCGCAUGCGCCUGAGUCCCGGGCGGGGCCUGGAGGCCCCAGGGUGCUCCUUGCGCAUGCGCACGAGUCCUGGUCCCUGCACGGCUUUCUGCGAUGCGGGUGGCACCUUAGAGUCACCCGAGGCGUGGGCCGGCCUCUCGGGCCCGGUGCGGCUCCACUCUGCUCCCCGAUGGCACUGAGGCUGUCCGGGCACCUGGGCAGCGGGUGCCUGGGGCUGCCCUCAGAGACGGUGUCGGCCUUGGUCAGGGACUCGGGCACCCGGGUCUUCUGCAGCCCCCAGGGGGUCCUCCUGCGUGGUGAGGUCGAGGGCCAGGGCCAGGGCUCCACCCUCCCUCUGCGGAGGCCGCCUGGGCCUUCCCGUCUCUGAAUCGGUCAGGGGAAUUCACAUCCCGCCCUGGGGUCUGCCCAGCGGUGGGGCCGGGACCAUCCGCGUCUGCGUGCAGCGUAGACACCGACUGCCCUGGACUUCAGAAGUGCUGCCCCUGGCCGGGGGGCCUCCGCUGUGUGGCCCCCGCACCCCAAGGUAGGGCUGCUAUAGGCAUGCUUGCCGAGGGGCAGCAGGGAGGGCCCUGGUGAGGCCGGGGUGGGAGGCCUCUGGGAGUGGCAGCCCCAGCUUCGCGGGGAGCCCUCCCCCGUGUGCACAGGUGCAGCUCACGCGUGUGCGUGCUCUUUGUCAAAAUCCUGCCCCUGCAGCCCCAGGAGAGAAGCGCUAACGGCCCACCCAGGUCCUCGCUCGUCUGGGGAAGGCCUGGGCCCUGGGUGUAGCUGUCAAAGCCGCCGUGUCUCCCUGUGGGAGGUGUGGGUGCCAACGCUGAGCCAGCACAGGGGCCUGGCUGACGGCCGUCUCCCUGGGCACUGCCCACCGUGUGCCCAGGCUGCAGGCCUGGAAGGUUCUCUGCUGGCCUGGGAGGGUUCUCUCUGCUCCCAGAAUGUUCUAAGCUAGAGAAACAGGCCAUGAAAGUAUCCUACUUAUGAAUCUGGUCUUGGUAUACUCUAGUCACAAGCAGUAGUCUAACCAAUAUCAAGUUUGCGUACUGCGAUACUAGGUGUUGACUCUGCUACUGAAUGGUUGUGGUAUGCAUCGCAUGUAACAUGCUACAUAGGGUGUUACACAGCGUGUGACAGUCAGUAAUCUCUUCUGCAGCAUGCGUGGUGUUGCACGUUGUUACACAACUUGAUGUUAAUAGUAUAAGCAGCACAAAUGAAAUAGAGGAAUGGCACGGCGUCUAGUAACUUCAUAUACGAGGGUAAUGUUAUACUACAGUGAGGGCUGGCGGCUGUAUUCACACCCUAGGAGGAUCUG